CGGGGCGUAGCAUAGCGGCUUAAUGCGCCGCGUUUGGGACGCGGAGAUCGCUGGUUCAAAUCCAGUCGCCCCGA
rnacentral:tRNA from 1 species